GACAGCUCCAAAUUUUCCAUAGAGAUUGGCAUCUUAUAUUUCCCAGAAAUGUCCCAAGUGAAAUUAAGAUGAAAGCCCUGAAUAAGAUAGGUCUCAGAUCCAUGACUUAGAGAUUGCCAAGAAAUCUUUAAUUUUCUAAUAUAUUUUCUAAUCAGAGCCAACACUGUAAUGAGUGGUCUGACUCAGAAGAGAGCAGGAGCAUAGAACAGGUCUUUCUCCAAGGCAUUCCCUUCACCAACAUACAAAGGGAACGGCAGAAUUUGGUGAUUGCAGCAUGUGGCUCUACGGAAGUUCUAAAUAGAUGUAUAUUUUGCCUUCUUGUAAAGUCAUACUGUUCACGGGAGACUUGUCUCAGCUUAGAGAGAUGCUGCUGUGCCCCUUUGCAAGAUAACGUGUGCACUUUGCAGAUAUUCUCCAAGGUGACAGAGAAAUGAAGAACUGUGUGUACUCAGUUUUGAAAGAGAUUUGGUUCGCCCUAUUUUGUAGUGUACCUGGAUCCCAAUUCAUAUGAUAAUCGAAAUCUCUGCUGUAGUUUGUAGACAAUGAGUGUGCCAUUCUGCUGCUGCUUUAGUAAAAUUAAGGUGCAGCCUUCCUCUUUUAUGAAGGCAUGUAUACUAGAUGUGACUCAUAAUGGAUAAAAGACAGCAAUUAAAUGCAUUGAAGUGAAUUACAACUCUUUGGAGACAUUGAAUCUGGUGUUAAUUUGGUGGCAUCAACAGUGGCAUUUGGAAUUCUGUUCAGCUUUAUAAUUUAACUUUCCAGCUACCCUUCACACCUAAGCCAAUUUAUGAGAGACAAUGUUUGGUAUAUGAGAUAUGUAGCUCUUCUAGAUAUUAGGAGUAUAUUGUUUAUCUUUUCAGAUUCAGCAAGCUCUUGAUUAUGUUCCACAAAUAGCCACAUUCAGUUCAUUUAUCUUUUAUUCUCAAAUUUAUCCUGAAUAUGUUAUACAUAUGUUACCUAAUAAAAAUCACAAUAUGGCUAAUAGGGGA